AGGCCGGUAGUUCAAUGGCUAGAAUGGGGGUCUCCAAAACCCUUGAUGAGAGUUCGAUCCUCUCCCGGCCUG
rnacentral:tRNA from 1 species